AGUGAACGCUGGCGGUAGGCCUAACACAUGCAAGUCGAACGGCAGCACAGUAAGAGCUUGCUCUUACGGGUGGCGAGUGGCGGACGGGUGAGGAAUACAUCGGAAUCUACUUUUUCGUGGGGGAUAACGUAGGGAAACUUACGCUAAUACCGCAUACGACCUACGGGUGAAAGCAGGGGAUCUUCGGACCUUGCGCGAUUGAAUGAGCCGAUGUCGGAUUAGCUAGUUGGCGGGGUAAAGGCCCACCAAGGCGACGAUCCGUAGCUGGUCUGAGAGGAUGAUCCGCCACACUGGAACUGAGACACGGUCCAGACUCCUACGGGAGGCAGCAGUGGGGAAUAUUGGACACUGGGCGCAAGCCUGAUCCAGCCAUACCGCGUGGGUGAAGAAGGCCUUCGGGUUGUAAAGCCCUUUUGUUGGGAAAGAAAAGCAGCAGGUUAAUACCCCGCUGUUCUGACGGUACCGAACGAAUAAGCACCGGCUAACUUCGUG
rnacentral:rRNA from 1 species